CGAUAUGGCACAGUGGUAGUGCCACUGCCUGCGACGCAGAAGAUUUCGGGUUCGGUUCCUGGCAGGUCAG